CACCACUCAAGCCCCUCGUGCUUGGCAUUGGGCGGCGGGGUCCCCCCGCGCCUCAAUUUCUCCGGCUGGACGACUCCUAUCUCAGCGUUGUGGCAAACAAUCCGCUGGCGAGACGGGGCGCCCGCGCCGUUAAACCUCCAUCUCA
rnacentral:misc_RNA from 1 species